rnacentral:rRNA from 1 species
AUUGAACGCUGGCGGCAGGCCUAACACAUGCAAGUCGAGCGGGUGACGGGAGCUUGCUCCUUGAUUCAGCGGCGGACGGGUGAGUAAUGCCUAGGAAUCUGCCUGGUAGUGGGGGACAACGUUUCGAAAGGAACGCUAAUACCGCAUACGUCCUACGGGAGAAAGCAGGGGACCUUCGGGCCUCGCGCUAUCAGAUGAGCCUAGGUCGGAUUAGCUAGUUGGUGGGGUAAUGGCUCACCAAGGCGACGAUCCGUAACUGGUCUGAGAGGAUGAUCAGUCACACUGGAACUGAGACACGGUCCAGACUCCUACGGGAGGCAGCAGUGGGGAAUAUUGGACAAUGGGCGAAAGCCUGAUCCAGCCAUGCCGCGUGUGUGAAGAAGGUCUUCGGAUUGUAAAGCACUUUAAGUUGGGAGGAAGGGCAGUAAGUUAAUACCUUGCUGUUUUGACGUUACCGACAGAAUAAGCACCGGCUAACUCUGUGCCAGCCGCCGCCGUAA